rnacentral:rRNA from 1 species
AAAAUUUAAAUUUAAAAUACUAAAAUAGUAAGUGAAUAUUUAUUGAAACUUAAAUAAUUUGGCGGUAUUUUAGUUCAUUUAGAGGAAUCUGUUUAAUAAUUGAUAUUCCACGAAUAAAUUUACUUAAUUUAUAAUUUUAUAUAUCGUUGUUAUAAAAAUAUUUUUUAAUAAAAUUAAUAUUUAAAAAUUAAUAGUAAAAUUUAAAUCAGAUCAAGAUGUAGAUUAUAAUUAAGAAUAUAAAUGGAUUACAAUAAAUUUAUUUAAAAUGAAUAUUAAUUUGUAAUAAUUAAUUGAAGGUGGAUUUAAAUGUAAUUUUAUUUAAUUUAAUAAAAUGAUCAAAAAUUAAAAUAUGU